GGGAGUGCGUGUGUGCGCGCGUGUGUAUGUGUGUGUGUGUGUGCGUGUGCGCGAGUGUGUGUGCGGGGUGCGCGCGCGGGCGGGAGUGGGCGCGCGCGGGGAAAGGCCCGAAAACACCUUAGUUUGCACCGAGAGACCAUUUGCAGCGGAACCCGAAAGUUUGCAAGAGGAAGAGAGCGCGCGGCGAACAAGCGGGCAAGGGGCAGCGGCAGCGGCGCCGCCAGGGACCAUGGUGCUGCCGGCGCCUCCUCCGCGGGCGUGAAGGCGGCGCUCCCACUCUCCCCUCGGACUCCGCGGUGUCCCAGGAGCUUCUGCUGACAAUUCCAGUUUCCACACGCAACAUUUGGGCAAUGGUGAGGGCUUCGGUCCCUUCUUUGGUUUGCUGUCAACCAUGAAUGGAUGGAUUUGAUGCCUGCUGGCCAAAAGGGAUCCAGGGCCAAGACACAGGACCUUUAGUGUAAUAAACAGCUAAGUGUGGUGAUCAGGAACACAGGAGUUUGGCCAGACAACUCAAGUCUGAAUGCUGGCUCUGCCAGUAACCAUCAGUAUAAAUUUGGGAAACAAGUUAACACUAUCAGGAGUAACAGCCAAGUCCUGUUUCCAAAAGAAAUCACUCGACACCCUGGGGAACCUUCUUCACCUGUCCCUUCCUGGAAGGAUGCUAUAUAGUCUGGUGAGGAAGUGGAGGAAGAGUGUUCUCUCUUCAGAAUAACUGCACAUUUCAGCUGGACUGUAUCAGUGCCCUCCAGAGGAGUGUCCCUCUGUGUGUUGCAGUCCUGUGGCAUUAUGCAUGCCCCCAGCCAGUGACCCCCCAGGCUUUUUAUGGCUGUGAGACACGUUAAAAGUUCAGGGUAAGUGAUGAGCAACACUCAUACUGUGGAUUACUUAAAGUUGACCUCCUGGAGUUGGCUGGUGGCUCAGUGGGUUAAGGGUCCAGCCUUAUCACUGCUGUAGUGUGAGUCGGUCCCUAACCCUGGGAACCUCUGCAUGCUGCAGCCAAAUCAAUAAAUAAGUAAAUGAAUAAAUAUUGCCCUCCACCUUGGCAGGUGACAUGUUAGUGGAUGCAGUAGUCUCCGGGAAGAUAACAGAAUGCCCGGUUAUCAAGCAUGAAUUCCACAGCCGACAGGAAUAGGUUUAUUGCCUUUCAUGAUAGCUUUAUGGAUUUCAAGAGUAGGAUUCAUACCAUGGAUGGUAUCUAGGGAAGGGUUGGCAAACUUGGUUUCUAAAGGGCCAUAUGGUAAAUACUGUCAACCCCAUGAGCCAUAGAGUUUUGUUUGUGGCCACCUCUGCUGAUGGAACCCAGAAGUAGCCAGGGACAAUAGCUGGGCAUGACUGCAUUGCAAUAAAACUUUAUUUGUAAAAACAGGUCAUGGGCCAUGUUUGGCCUAAAGGCCUCAGUUUGCGGACACCUGAUCAAAGGGAGACAAGUGAUUUGUCAUCCAGGUACCUCACUAGGUAGCAGUCCCUCUGAUCUGGAACAAAUCGCGUAUUAAGGCGAAACAGGAAUUAAAAAAAAAUACUUGCCCUUACUACUGAGCUAGGAGUAGCAUGUAGUUACAAGAAUUAAAUAAGAUGUAAUGUGCGAGAAAGCUCGUUGAACAUUUCAAAACUCCUCACAGAUGGAAUGGGUGCACACUCUGCCGUCACUCUGGUUCACCGAGUGGGGUGAACCUUCUUCACCUUUUGAAUCACAUUGGCCUUUCUUGAGUGACAUGAUUGUGCGGGAAAGCACUGUGAUUUUCUAAGUCAUGUGGUUUGUAUGUGCAUUCCUUCUAUUGUUCAUUUGAUGGACAAGCUGUUGAAAUGUCUUUUUAGUAUCAAAUAUGGAUGAUACAGAUUGUGGUAGGCUACAGAUCAAAUGCCAAUGAAGAACUAUUAAAUUUCCUUUAAUCAUCAGAUCUUCCACCUUUAAAAUAGGCCUUGAUAAAUAAUAAUGUUUUGGAUGUCUACAAGUAUGUUUGAAUUUCACAAGUCUGGCAUGUCAAAACAGAGAGACAGGUUCAGCAAAUAUACUUCCCUGGGCUAGUGGUACUAAUUAAGGAGGAAAGUCAUGCUUAAACAAACAGCUUGGUGAAUAGAGGGGUAAUCAGAAUCCUAAUUCAUGAAUUUCCAAUAUUUUUUGACGGAACAGUAGAAUAGUCUUCAGAGAUGUUUUCAUGUCUUUGCACCAUUGAAGAAUUGUCUGGUAACAGAGAUACUAUUGUAUAAGUUUAAAAAAUUAGUUAUGUAUUCUCUCUCAUAAAUGAUGUCUGUUGUGCUUUUUUUUUUUUUUUUUUUUUUUUUUUUUGUCUUUUUAGGGCUGCACCUGUGGUAUAUGGAGGUUCCCAGGCUAAGGGUCCAAUUGGAGCUGUUGCUGCCAGCCUACACCGAAGCCAGAGCAACACCAGAUCCUAUCUGAGCUGCAUCUGCAACCUACACCACAGCUCAUGGCAACGCUGGAUCCUUAACCCACCGAUCGAGGCCAGGGAUUGAACCCGAAACCUCGUAGUUCCUAGUUGGAUUUGUUUCCCUUGCGCCAUGACGGGAACUCCGUCUGUUGUGCUUUUUAUCUUUAUGCUCUGCCUGCUUGUUUAAGUAGUGCUUCAUCUUCUAGGUCACAUUGUGGCUACUGCCUCUCUGGCCAUUGCUUCUGCAUCCUGAAGAAGCAAAAGUACAGGGAACAAAGAGAGUAGUCUUCCUAGCUGAGGAAAGGCUCUUUAAAGAACUUUUCCUAAAGUCUUACUCAGUGGUUUCUACUUACAUCCUUUUAGCCACCCUUAAAUGUUAGAACAUAAGCCAUCUGGGAAUUGAUUGGCUCCUUAGCCUUGAGAGUUUGGAUGUCCCACAUAAAUUCCCAGUUCUAGUAGUAAUAAAGAAAAGGUGUAUGAUUAUUGAGCAGCAAUUGUGGUUACUUCCAUAAAAUUUUGUUACCAAUUUUUCUUAGGUGUCUAGUUUUUAUUUAUUUUGAUGAAUGUGUUCUUUCUUCCACUGAUUUGUGUGUAUCAUAUCUUUAUUGAAUCUUACAUGUUUGAACUUCAGCUUCUUCAGUUCUCAGCUGAGAUCCACAUCUCAGUAAAUAUUCUAGGACCGUAAUAUUCUUACAGAAAGUGCCAUGGCAAAUCUGAGAAAUACUUUGCUUUCUCAGGAGAGCAAUCAACCAAAAUUCAAACUCCCAAAUUUUCUAAUGGAUGUUCUCUUCUCUGGGUGGAAGAUUUUGUUAAAGCCUGAGGGCUAGUGUGAAGUCCUAGGACAUACAGGCCUGCACCCAGUUGUGUUCUUCCCAAUACGUGUGGGCAGUAUCAUGAUGGCUUUGUUGUGUCCCCCAGAGACUAGACAAUGCUAUUAUCCACUCUGCCUCUCUGAUUUGCUGCUAAGUGUCUCCUUAGCUUCCAGGAUAGGAGAGACCAGUGAGCCACUCCUGUCCAGUUUCUCUAUCCCACAUUAGCCUGUGAAAUAUUCUUGUGAAAUUUCUGUCUCACAGAAUGAGACUUCUCUAUGCUUCAUAACAGAGUCUCUGCCUAUACCAGCCUGUGAUAGAUGCUCAGGAGACGUGGUUGCCGAUGCAUUUCCAGACCUUUAUUGAAUGCCUGCUAUAGAUAGAGGAUAGCAAAGUGGAUAAGAGUGUCUGUAUUGAAGUGAAAUUGGCCUAGAUUCCAAUUCCACCUUUUCCAUUGACGGGCUGAGCGACCCUGGCUAAGUGACUUAACCUUUCUAGGCCAUGGCCUCCUCAUCUGGACAAUGGGGGAUACAAAUAGGAGCUAGAUUCCCAUAAAGAAUCACUGAGAUGAGGCUUGUAGGAGCUUGCGCAGUUCCUGGUAGAUAAUAAAUGCCGGCCUUGUGCUACACACGCUAGGCGAUCUGGUGGAAAUCCUUGUCUUGGAGGAGUUUUUAACCACCCUCUGGCUGGUUCCUUGGUGGUUGUGUAGGCAAUGGAUAUUUCACUAUCCAUUGCUUCUCACCUGGUAUUCUGUGUAAGUAAAAAGCCCAAGGAGGUGGCUUUGCUGCCUGCCUUCAAGGACACCGCAGCCACGUACUUGUACAGCUGGACAGCCCUGCUAAUAGGACUUAGAUCUCUAGGUCCCGUUUGGACAAUUUCCCCUGAGAUGCAUGCGGUUCUUUUUUUAUUCUGUUUUUUACUUACUCAGACAAUGGCCCUGCCUAGCAAGCAGAAUUCACUAACUGCUUUCAAGUUGGUAUUGCUGAUGAUAAUCUGAAACUCAGUAAGGUUUCACUCUUGCGGGCUGACGCUACAUGAUGUCGCUCUUGCCAGCCUCAUCCCACUCCCUGCCUCUGUGCUGAGUCUGCAGAGCAGCCUCUGGUCCCCCACACGUCUUCCUGGGAAUGGCCCUCAAAGCACAGGGUCAUCUGCACAUAGAAGCUGCCACCUGAGUGGUGGAGAUUGUCAGUAUUGCUCAUAGAUGGCAUGGUUGGCCGUGUGUCCCAAAGAGUGAGAAGCAUUGAGCCACCAUCUGUGCCGCAGCUUGCAGCAAUGCCAAAUCCUUAACCCCCUGCGUGAGGCCAGGGAUCGAACCUUCCUCCUCACCAAGACUACGUUGGAUCCUUAAUCCUCUGAGCCACAGUGGGAACUCUGGUUUCAGAUACUUUAAUUAGACCCCGUUCCCAGGCUCAGAUGCAGUAAAAUCUCGCCUGCCUCUGGACCAUGGGAUUCUCUGCCUGGAACCAUUUCUGCACAUCACAGGGCUAAUUCCUUCUCAUCCUUUUUGUUCAGUUCAAAUACCACCUUCUUGGGCUGGCCUUCCUUGACUGCCCGCAUUAAAAAUGAGAUCCCUCUUCCCCCUCCCCCCCCCCUCACUAUUAGCCACUCAGGUCUUUUGUCUCUUUCAUUUACUACGGCUUCUGUCACUUUCUGAAUAUACCUGUUUACCAGGUAAUAAGCAAGGGGAAGGUCUGUCUGAUUCAGUGUGGCUUCCUCGUGGCUGACAGUGAAUAGUAGGCAUGCUCGCAGUCAGUAUUUAUUGAAUCAGGCAGCAGACAUUUGGGGAUUUCCCUGUGAAUUGCUCUAUUUCGUGGUACCUAAGAGAACUCCAUCUGGAUGAGAGAGUAAGAAAAGAAAGAAAACCAUACACAUCACCUUUAUUAUAGGAAUAGAAUGCCGCCCUUGGGCUUUCUCUGGAAAGUUUCCUCUCUGCGUUGGACAAGUCUCUGAUACUCCACGUGUCCCGUCCGGAAAGGCUUAUACAUCAUCUUCCCUGUGAACACAGAACGUUUGCCAUUUGGUUCUAAAGCGUAUGGUGGGUGGUACAUGUUAAUUAAGGAUGUUGGAUUUCAAGCCCAAAUCCCAGCACUCUCCUUCACUGGCUCUUUGUUCUUGAACAAAUGACUUCCUUUCUUUGGUCCUCAGUUUCCUUACCGGAGGCAGGGGAAACAGCGUUACCUGGCUCACAGUGUUAGUGCUUGGAUUAAAUGAGAUGAUAGGUAUUUAGUGCUUUGCACAGGAUCUGAAACAGAAUAAUAACACUAUUGAUUGAGAAAGAUGAUCAAAAGGGUAUUGGAAAUGACACUGACAAGACUCAAACUGCACUAUCUUGUAAAUCAUCGUUUGAAAAGUGACAAAGAUAGUGAAGAGCCUUGAUUGCCUUUUGUACUGCUCAUUUCAUGCACUGAAUUAACUUUAAAGAGUGCAGGUAGGCCUCCUUGCCUGCCCGCUUGCAUCUUUCACAAGUGUCCUAUCUUAGUAAAUCUAUUUCUUGCUUAAAAAAAAAAAAUCGUGGAGUGCAGAGUGAGCAAGCAGUGGAAUGAUUUAUAUUUGUUGAUGACAUGUUGAUUCUUGGAUGUUAGUGGUUUGUUUCAGAGCCACUUAUAAAUUCCAGUGCUGAUAUGGCUCAGUGUUUGGAGCCUGACCCACAUCCAAAAAACCUUGAGAAUUGGGAGUUCAGGGUCCUGCCCUGUCCUAAGCCACCUAACUGGAGAGGUCUUCCUUCUUCAGGUUGAUCAGAGCUGGUUUGAUCUCCUGCUUCACAAUAGAGUAUGUCUUAAACUCCCUGUAAAUCCUAAUUUUAAAAUACAUUGUGUCCUUAAUGUCUGUGUCCUGAAAAUUCACUUACCUCUUUUUGAAAGACAAUUCAAGUCUACAUAGAUUGAGAGGAGGUGGAUAUAAAUAUCUUUUGUUGUGAGCUCUGACUUCUUUCACAUGCUUAAGGCGGGAGGGUAUGUUACAGCUAUUACAUUAUAUUAAUACAGUUUGUGCCUGCUGGACCUGUUGUGUUCAGUGAGCAUUUUCUGUGUGAAUGCUGAAGCUCAGAGAGGGACUUACCUCUCUCUGGAUCCCCAGCUUUUGUGAUAAAAGAUGAAAUACAUUGUCACAUACUCUCGUUUCUGGCCUUUUAAAUUAGGAAAACAGAGUUCCCAUUGCGGCUCAGCAAUAACAAACCUGACUAAUAUACAUGAGGAUUCAGGUUCGACCCCUGGCCUCACUCAGUGGGUUAAGGAUCUAGAGUUGCUGGGAGCUGUAGUGUAGGUCACAGAUGGCAGUGUGGAUCCCGCAUAGCUGUAGCUGUGGUGUAAGCCAGCAGCUGCAGCUUCUAUUCGACCCCUAGCCUGGGAACGUCGGAUAUGCCUCGGGUGGGGCCAUAAAAAAGACCAAAAAAAAAAAAAA
rnacentral:lncRNA from 1 species